GCCUUGGGAAAUAACUGAUCCCUGAAAGCCAAUAGGCAAGAUCCCUGGGGCCUCACAACCUUGGUGCUGAAUCCAUUUCUCCCAGUGUUAAAUUCAGAAAGCAGCAGAAGCUUUCAGAAGAACAGCUGGAGAUUUAGUCUGGCUGGGAGAACAGGGCUGGUCAGCAGGUCCAAGGCAGCAGCACCGUAUGAGGCUCUCUGGUCCCAAGGGCCUGUGUCAGGGACCUGCCAUGGUGGUCGCACAGUCUGGCCUGGGGGCAGAGCAGGAGUGGCAAGGGUCAGAGGCGCAGACUCGGAUGCUGUCAGCUUCCUAUGCCACCCUCCAUGGGCAGUGGCACAUGCCAGCCAGGCAGUGACAGGCAGCAGGAUGGCCUGGACUUCCUCACAGAAUGGUGGCUGGGGUACAAGAGGAAAAGGCCCAGUGUGCAAGCACUUAUCCAGCCUCUGCCUGAAUCACAUUUACUAGUGUCCCAUUGGCUAAAGCAAAUCACAUGGCCAAGCUCAAGUCUAUGUGGAAGGAGACUACACAAGAACAUAAAUACUGGGAGGCAUAAUUCUUCAGCAGCUACAAAGUAACAGUCUAUCACUAUUUCUAAUUCCAGUUCUUGCAGCCAGAAGACACUGUUGGGUUCGUAGAGGCAGGGACAGCCCAGAGAUCCAAGCAGAGGAAAUACGUUUGGCUCUGGGAGAGUCUUGAGUUUUAUUAGCAGCUAAAGAGCCUGACUGGGUUGUUGCAUGUGACUCCAUGGUGCAAUACAGGCUCUCCAGCCCAGGGGCCAUAAAAGUCAGAAGCCUCUGUAACUGGGAGCCAGCGAAUGAAGGUAUCCUGAACAAGCCUGAAAAGGAGUAUCAGCUCAAACAGAAGUUCUAUGGGCCUAGGAUGGGAUCUUGGCCCCAGAGUGGGAAGCAGAAGAAUAAACACCCCAGCUUCCUGGCCCCUCAGAGGUGUUCUGGACCACCUCCCAGAAUCCCAGCAAGAUUGAGGUCCAGGUGCCUACAACAUAACCUUCUCAUUGGCAUCCUUUAAUGGUUUCCAUCCCUCCAUCCCUGUCAUAAUUCUUCCCUAUCAGGGCUUCCUGGGGUCACCAUUCAAAUAAACCACUUAUACUCAAAUUGGGCCUCAAGUCCUGCUUCUAAGAAAACUCAGGUUAAGACAAUGAUGGAUUUGGAACACUGGAUGAUCUCAAGUUAUUCAGUGGUCCAAAUCCAAAGCUUGAGAAGUCCAUGAUCUGAUCAGUGGCGUGAUGGUGUGCAGUUGGCACUAGACAGGCAUGGGCUGGAGCCUCAACUUUGCAGCUCACCAGUUUUGUGGCACUUUUGUUUCCAGAGAGGGCCACCAACUAUCUUUCUCAUUCUUGGUUACACCUGCCACUCCUCUCCUCAAGAGAUGGAGUCUAUUUCCCUUCUCCUUGAUUCUGGCUAGCCUUGGGUUUGCCAGUCAUAUGCCUUGCUUUGAUCAGAAAACUAAAAGUGAUAUUUUAGGACUUCUCAGUCCAGGCUUUGAAAAACUUGCAGCUUCCACUCUUUUGCCCUCUUGGAACCCAGCCACCUUGUAAAAAUCCCUGACACCCUGCUGAAGAGAUACCAUGGGCAUAAAGAGUCUCUAGCCAGUCCCCAGCUGUUCUAGCCAUCCUGGCUGAGAGGCAUGGGCUCUGAGAGCUUUCGAGAUGUCCAAGUGAAGAUGUCAAGAGGUCAGUUAAAUACAAAUAAUUCCCCUAUAUGUCUCUGAAUAACAACCAGGGCCUUUCCUCUGUUGCUUGGGCAAAGAGCUGCAUUGUGCCAUCUGAGGAGUUUACCAUUGUAAAUGGCAAGGCUGCGUGUGUAUGAGUAUGCAAGUGUGUGGUUUGUGGGCGGAGUGUUUGAAACAGGCUGUGCAGUCUCCUGCCCCUCACAGCCUCCCGCCUACAGACCAAGUCUCAGCCACACCUGUCCCCUCAAGGCCUAGCCCAGGCUGCUAAGUCAUCAAGCCCCCACCAUGACUGCAGGACCUCACUCCCAGCCAGCACAUAACGUAGCACUUGAGGCCGACGGGAAAGCCUUUCUCACCCACCUUUGGGACCAUCCUAGCAUGCUAGCCUCUCCUCUAAUGCUUGCCUCCCAGCCUCCCCAUCUCACCCAUUCGCCCUCUGCAACUUCCCUCCCCACCCUUCCCAUCAGCCACCCCCCUAAAUCCCUGUGCCCUGACAAACAAACUCCCUCCCUCUCCCCUUCCACCUGAGUGGUGGCUCUGCUGAGGACGUCCUUCCCCUGCACCCCCUGGAGGGGUUCACUGCUCAUCCUCAUGCACAUACUCCCAGCUCAGGGUCUAGAAGCUGGGUCAGGGUCCUCUACAGCUCAGCAUCCUCUCUUCCGCCAGGCCACACCAAUUACUAUAGGGAAAGGCAGCCCCAGGCCUGGCACCUGACUAGUCUAAGUCAAUCAUGAGACUCUUAGUAGUAAUUGGUGCAAGAGUGAACAUGUGACCCAGCUCUGGCCAAUGAGAUGUCAGGGGAGGUCUGUCAGGGAACUUCUGGGAAAAGAUUUCUUGUUCUUAGGAAGGAGACAGCAGAAGGAGUAACUCUUAAACCACUGGACGUUGAUGGAUCUGGGUGUGAUUCCUGGAGCAGCUGCCACCAUCUUGCAAUGAAGCUGAAAAUGAAGUCACAAGGCAGGGAGAUGGAGAGAACCUCCAUGAGAUUAUUAUACUGUUGAGCCCUGUUCGCCUGAAAACUUUCCUACCUCUGGACUUCGUAUCAGGAGUGUUGAGAAGGUGGAUGGAAGCAACAAUAGUUUCCUUAUCUCCUUGGAGAAAGAUACAAGCCAUUACCAAGGUUUUAUAGAUGAGAUCCCCACUGUUCUCCCUAAAUUCAUGUGUCUGAGCUCCUGUCUCCCUGGUUAUGCAUUGCUGGCUGGCUGGAGUUAUUCUGGGCAUUUCUUCAAGUGUCAUUGGUAACUUAGAACUCACCAGUGACAAGCUGGCAAAUUCACUUACAGAAUGCAGCUCCUGAAAACUACUAAUGAUGCCGUGAGAAGACAGGAGACAAGAACCAGCAGUAUUUGGUCUCCAGUUUAAGGCAUAAAUAUCUGAAAAUGAGAAAUUCCUUGGAGCCAGCCUCCCAGAUGGAACAUUUAGUGCUCAGUUACAUAAAGAGCUACAGAAGCCAGGAGGUCAGGGCAGAGCUACAGCAAGGCCUGGCAAUGGGCCUGGGCGGCAGGUGUGGGGGGCAGUAAGAGUGUUUAAGGGAGAGGGGAGCAUUGAGAGUAUCACCCAGUUCACAGGGAGUGGUGAAUGUCCAGCUUCCCUUUAUCCAUCUAUCCAGCUGUUCUACUGAAAUAAGAGCAUAAUGCCAGACACUGCCGGGAGGAAGUUGAAUGUGGCAGGAUUGCCCAAUGGGCAAACUGAUUGUGCUUUAUGAUAUUAUAGACUCAUUUGAAAGAGAAAGUUUCAGAAAACAGAAUUAAAGGAACCUCAUCUUUCUCCUCUGAAGAGAAACAGGAGAUCUCUGUGUCCUGAGAUCUGUUCCACAGGAGAAAUGAAAGGCUUUUAUUUUCUGAAGUCUAGGCACUGGGCACAAAGAGCUGGCUUGUCUUGGAUGAGCAGGGUCUCUGGGAUGGGCAGGAAGAGGCUGAACCCACGGGGAGACCCAGGUUUUCCAGAGACAGGAAGCAAAGCCAUGGUCGGAUAUAUGUUGGUGUACUGGUGAAAGCUAACACGUGUUCUCAGGGUGGUGGGCUGGAGGGCAUGGGCUCCUGAUUUAUAGUGUUUACCAGUUUCUGUGGUGUAAAUAUUUCCACCAUGGUCAAUUUCAAGCUACCAACUUUAUGUCAUUGAGCAGGAAGUUGGGAAGAGACACACACAGUCGGCUCUCCUGAGUCAGUACAAGCCUGCUCCAGCACACCACUGACAUGGAAACGCGCACCCAGUUAAAUGCAGCACCUCAGGAGGUGGCAGGACCUUUGAUGGGGAGGCCCUUGGGUGCCAGGGACUGACAAUCAAGCUCUAAGACCUUGUGAGCUGCUGAAAAAGAUCUCAGAGUCUGGCUUGGCAUGGAGAGAGAAGAGCCACCCUUCUUUGGAAUGAACCAUUUGGACUUGAGCAUGAGGCUCCAGCAGUGACCAUAUGGGGCUGAAGAACACAAGCUUUGCUGAAGUUUCUGGACUAUGUAAACCAUCCUUGCCCACCCUAAGGAGGGGGUGCUCCAGGCAAUGACUCAACUAUGGUGACUGGGAGCUCACAGCCAGAUUUAAUUUGGUUUACAAAAAUAAAAUACUGCCAUGGUUCUUGCAUGUGA